CUGAGCUUGGUGGGGCGCGCCUGCGUCUUCGAGGCGUCGUCAGACUGAGGUAAGGCUGCGGUGUUCGAGCAGGCGUGGUCAGG
rnacentral:tRNA from 1 species